UGAAUACGAGACGCUAAGGCGUUGAAGUAGUGUAUGUCAUACUUCCAAGAAAAGCUUGCACUGUCAUAGAUAAAAAACGCCUGUACCAUAACCGACACAGGUGGGUAGGUAGAGUAUACUAAGGGGCGCGAGAUAACUCUCUCUAAGGAACUCGGCAAAAUAACUCCGUAACUUCGGGAGAAGGAGUGCCUUAUUUAUAAGGCUGCAAUAACAAGAUCCAAGCAACUGUUUAUCAAAAACACAGGUCUCCGCUAAGUCGUAAGACGAUGUAUGGGGGCUGACGCCUGCCCAGUGCCAGAAGGUUAAAGAAGUUGGUUAGCAAUAGCGAAGCUGAUAACUGAAGCCCUGGUGAACGGCGGCCGUAACAAUAACGGUCCUAAGGUAGCGAAAUUCCUUGUCGGGUAAGUUCCGACCCGCACGAAAGGCGUAAUGAUUUGGAUACUGUCUCGGAGAGGGGCUCGGUGAAAUAGACUUGUCUGUGAAGAUGCGGACUACCUGCACCAGGACAGAAAGACCCUAUGAAGCUUUACUGUAACUUGAAAUUGAAAUUGGACUUUAUUCGCGCAGUAUAGGUGGGAGGCGUUGAUUGUAAUCUUGCGGGAUUAUUGGAGCCAUCAGUGAGAUACCACCCUUGUAAUGUUAGAUUUCUAACUUUGAAUCAUUAUCUGGUCAAAGAACAGUUUCAGGCGGGCAGUUUGACUGGGGCGGUCGCCUCCUAAACGGUAACGGAGGCGUACAAAGGUUUCCUCUGAACGGUUAGAAAUCGUAUCUAGAGUGUAAAGGCAUAAGGAAGCUUGACUGUGAGACCUACAAGUCGAGCAGGGACGAAAGUCGGUCUUAGUGAUCUGACGGUACUGAGUGGAAAGGCCGUCACUCAACGGAUAAAAGUUACUCUAAGGAUAACAGGCUGAUCUCCCCCAAGAGUUCACAUCGACGGGGAGGUUUGGCACCUCGAUGUCGGCUCAUCGCAUCCUGGGGCGGUAGUGCGUCCCAAGGGUUGGGCUGUUCGCCCAUGAAAGCGGUACGCGAGCUGGGUUCAGAACGUCGUGAGACAGUUCGGUCCAUAUCCGGUGUAGGCGUUAGAAUAUUGAGAGGAGCCUUCUUUAGUACGAGAGGACCGAGAAGGACAUACCUCUGGUGUACCAGUUAUCGUGCCAACGGUAAACGCUGGGUAGCUAUGUAUGGAGUGGAUAACCGCUGAAAGCAUCUAAGUGGGAAGCCCACCUCAAGAUAAGUAUUCUCC
rnacentral:rRNA from 1 species